UGGGGUUCUGGCUCUUGGCAAGUGCUUUGAACAAGGAAGGGUUUUUCCUGGAUAUUUAUUAAACCAACAAUAUAAUGAGCAACCUUAUUUAACCAAUAACUUAAGAAACUCUUUUUAUCCGUCAGGAUUAACCGGGUGCCUUAAUGAUGUCUCUUAGGUUAAUUAACAUUAAAAAUAAAAGGGAAAAAGUGAUUUACGUUAAGGACGCCUCCUAAUUAGGACUUGGAAGGAACGGUGACUUGGAGACAGGUUUCCUAGCCUGAGUGGGUAGAGGGUGUUUGAAACGGUGUUGUCUCUUUCUCUCCGUGUCUCCUCUCUUCUCUCUUUCUCUGGUUUCUCUCUCUCGACGGCGAAGUCUCUACACAUUGGUGGCUCUCUGGCUUCUCCUUCUCUUUGGGUAGCUCUCGUCGGAGACCUAACCGUCGGUCUCUCUCGUUUCUCUGGAUUCUCUCUCUCGACGGCGACUUCUCCUCUCUCUCGGUGUCUCUCCGAUUUCUCUGUAUCUCUCACUCGGUGGCUCUCGACGGCGACAUCUCUCUCGGUGGCUCUCCUGGACGGCGACGGACCUCCCUCUCGGCGGCUCUCCUCGAAUCAAAUGGUAAACCGAUUGUUUUGUUGUUCAAUUUUGCAUGUCUUUAGAUUCUGCUUGUUGUUGUUCUGAUCAAGUUGCAUGUCUUUUGAUUGGUUUGUCCGUUUGAUUCUGUCUCUUGGUGGUUCUCCGCGACGGUGAGGGACAUCAAGCUCGGUGGCUCUCGUCCAAUGGAAAGAUGGAUGGAUCAAAUUGCUUUUGAUUUGUGUCUGAAACUCGAAUGAUCAAGAGAAGUAACCAAGUUCAUCGAACAAAGGACUUGUGGUCUUGUUGUCGUCAUGUACUUUUGGAGUCCUGUGUUCAUGUAGUCUUGGAGUCUUGUGUCACGGAGUUUUUUUCUUGUUUUGUUGUAGUACUUGUGUCACGAGUCUUGUUUUCUUGUUUUGUUGUAGUACUUGUGUCACGGAUUGUAGUUUUGCCAAGUUAUCUGAUAUCUAUAUAAAGUUAUGUUGUA